GCAACUCGACUGCAUGAAGUCGGAAUCGCUAGUAAUCGCGGAUCAGCAUGCCGCGGUGAAUACGUUCCCGGGCCUUGUACACACCGCCCGUCACACCAUGAGAGUCGGGAACACCCGAAGUCCGUAGCCUAACCGCAAGGGGGGCGCGGCCGAAGGUGGGUUCGAUAAUUGGGGUGAAGUCGUAACAAGGUACC
rnacentral:rRNA from 1 species